AUGCACGCUGGCGGCGUGCCUAAUACAUGCAAGUCGAGCGAACAGACGAGGAGCUUGCUCCUCUGACGUUAGCGGCGGACGGGUGAGUAACACGUGGAUAACCUACCUAUAAGACUGGGAUAACUUCGGGAAACCGGAGCUAAUACCGGAUAAUAUAUUGAACCGCAUGGUUCAAUAGUGAAAGACGGUUUUGCUGUCACUUAUAGAUGGAUCCGCGCCGCAUUAGCUAGUUGGUAAGGUAACGGCUUACCAAGGCGACGAUGCGUAGCCGACCUGAGAGGGUGAUCGGCCACACUGGAACUGAGACACGGUCCAGACUCCUACGGGAGGCAGCAGUAGGGAAUCUUCCGCAAUGGGCGAAAGCCUGACGGAGCAACGCCGCGUGAGUGAUGAAGGUCUUCGGAUCGUAAAACUCUGUUAUUAGGGAAGAACAAAUGUGUAAGUAACUAUGCACGUCUUGACGGUACCUAAUCAGAAAGCCACGGCUAACUACAUG
rnacentral:rRNA from 1 species